CGAGACCCGGGAUCCAGGAAGUCAGCGUGGGAGGUGUGUCUCUAGGGGUGUGUGUCUCACAGACAUAGACAUGCAUACGGCGAACACAUCCCGACAGGGACACAAACACAUACACACGCAGACACACACACAGUAAACACAGCUGGUGGAACACACACACAGACAGACACAAACACAGCGUAACACAUCCCGACAGGGACACAGACACACAUGCACCGUGGACACAUCCCAUUGGGGACACACACACACACACACACACACAUACACACACACGGUGAAGACAUCCCAGCAGGGGUGAGAUGCAUUUGAGUCAGGCAGGAAAGCUGACCCCCACCUGGGCAGGUGACCCAGGGCAGCCGACCCCCACCUGGGCAAGUGAGUAGCGUCUUCCUAACUCUACCGUAAGCGGGAUGGUCAGAAACCCGGGAAGCGCAAGGAUCCCAUGCUGGACCCCACCCUAAGAGACUGCUGGUGGGGUGGGGUGGGGGGGCACCCAGAAGGAGGAUUUGGCUGGGGCCUGCAGGGGCAGGUGGGGUUACAGCCGGUCCACUGCCUACCCUGUUUGUUGGACUCUAUAAACUGCCCCGACCUAAUCUUUACCAGUUUAAGCCUCUCCAGGGCCUGGUGUGAAUCUCGACACAGAUAAAGCCUCACCGUCCUCCGACUCCUACUGGCGUGUGCUCCCAGCUUACCUGGGCAAUCCGAGAGGCCGCUUCCCCUCUGGCCCCGCAAGACCCCCGUACUUCAGCAUGUCUCGGUUGGAUGUUUUCUGUAGCAGCGGACAGGAAAGGAGGUUUGGGGAAGGAGCAGGUCUGGACGGACCCACCUGUCAGGUGCUCAAAGUUCCCUUUGCCAAAGAUGAGCUUCCUGUCCGGCGUUUUGGUGGACACGACCAUUGUCUGCACCACGGACCAGCCGUCCAGCGUGUGCACCAGCGCUGUGGCCUCCGCCACCUGCCACUCGGCUGCGGGGACACAAGGGCCACCGUGAGAGAUGCUUCCCUUCGGGGUAGG
rnacentral:lncRNA from 1 species